UAUAGAUAGAUACACUCACCUCUACUUGAACAUUAACAUUUUCUACUGUGAAAGUUAGAACUCUUUAGAUCAAAGUGUACAUGAUGACAGCAACAUGUAUGGUUGUGGUAUUAUUUGUUGCUACAGUUACAGGUCAGGUGGUUGACAUCGCUUCAAAUUUAGACGCAGCCGGUCGUAACUUUUCCUGCACUGGUGAAGUUGUCACAUACACUUGUAGCGCUCAAGGAACCACCCUGUUUGUACAGUUUCCACCAUUAAUAAAUCAGCAAGCAUUCAUUAGCAGUGAUCCUGUUCCUGAUGUUCAGAUAUUCCCUACUGCUCUGAAUGUUAUUCUGACCCUGACAAGUGGAAUGCCCAAUUUUACUGCAAACCUGCAAAUCAGAGUGACAAGUGAUCCACAGCAGAUGAAUUUUUCUUGUUCUACGGACAUUUAUGGCCCUCAGAACGAUUUUGUACUACCACUACUUCAUGAAGCACAAAUUGAACCACCUCUCACUAUGACAUUCUCUGGAGACACGACAGUAUCAUGGAUCCCUCCUUUGAAUCCCCAGUUUGACAUUAAUUAUUAUAUUGUGAGAAUGUACGUGGAUGGAGUGUUGUACACGACUAGGAGCUCUCGUGAUAAUGGUCUGGACGUUAAGUUACCAUCUGGAGAAAUCACUGCUGAUGUUCGUACUGUUAGCACUUGUGGCAGUGUUAGCGCUGCACAACAGUCAGUGGGAUCAGUCUCAGGAGGAUAUGCAAAUGGAUC